rnacentral:lncRNA from 10 species
AUUGAAUGCUUAUUAGUUGCUCUGAUUAAUUUGAGUAAGUUGUGUUUGACUCUUUGCCUUUACUUUAUUCAAGACUAGUCUAUGUUAAAUUCUCGGAGUAGUAAUCUCAGUACAUAGCAUGGUUAGUGCAUGAACUGAGCCAGGGAUGAUCUUGGAGUUGAGAUUGGGUAGGGAGUGAAGUGUAGUUUUGAAAUGCAUCAAAAUACCAAAGCAGGAAAAAUUGGACAUGGAAGUAGGGAUGAUCAAAACAUAAUAGAAAUUAGGAACUAAGUAAAGAUAAGACAGACACUGACACCAAGAGCUCAGAAAAAUUAAGAGGCUGAAAUCAGGCAUGAAAUCAGGAAGCAGGAGGAAACCCAAACCACAGGGCUAGACAGGACAGAUGGUCAAAGCCUGAGCAUACAACCAGGAGCUGAAGGGACCAGCUUGGCCGUCAGUUGCAAGGGUGUGAGGCAGAAGCAACACAAAAGAUCUUGAUAUGAAGCAAUUAUUUUUGGUCUUAAACUGCUGGGACUCCAGAUGACCCAGACCACGGUCAGCAGGCAGAAGCCAGAGAUGACAUCUCACUAUAUUGCCCAGGCUGGUCUUGAACUUCUAGCCUCAAGCAAUCCUCCCACCUCAGCCUCUGAACGUACUGGAAUUACAGAUGGAGCAACUGAGAUUCUUCCCCAACUAGACUAUAAGUUCUCUGAGGGAUAAGGAACAUGUCUGGUUUCCUCAUCUCUCUGUCACAGCACCCUGUGAAUGCCUAGAAGACAGUAAGAAUCAACUGAAUGUUUGUAGAAAGAAUAACGAUACUUACCUAUAGUCUAAAGGUUUAGUGAUGAAAUGAAGUCCACUAACUUCUCUCUGCUUACUUCCACCCUCAAUAACAUAUUUCCUCAAACCCCACAGAGGAAAGACAAUUCAUUUUUUACUAUUGUUUAAUAGAGCCAUGUUUGUAUGUAGCUUCCUGUUCCGCUUAGCCCAAGACAUUAAGUGGGUCAGGAGUAAACUCUGCCCUCUGUUUUUUUCCAUUCCUUUGUCACCUGCUCAAGUGGCAGCCCAGAGCCGCUUGGCGGCUUCCCUGAAGAUGAGCAGAGUGCAGUAGAUUAGGCAUGGCCUUUCUAUCUAUUUCUACUAUGGAGAAGCUGAAAAAGCUAUAUGGCUGGAAAAAAAUCACCUUGGUACUAAUUUGCUAUUUUACAAUAUUUGAAAAUAAAGACCUGUGGUCUUCCUAUGUAUUUCUUUUUAAACAAUGAGGGGUAUGGAACAUCUAUGAAUAAACAUCAAGGUCUUCAAGUGAAUUUUCAGGUUGUGAAGUAUGUGAUUUGUUACUACUAGGGAGAGAUGUUUCCUAACCAUAAAAAUGAAUGUGACUUUUUUUUUUUAAAGGAUGCAACUAAAUUAUAAAAGACAAUCAUUUCACUGGUGGGAAUAGAAUUCACUUAUUCUGAGUCAUGCCUAUUGCAUUACAUUUUGUUUAGCAUAAUUAAUGGUGAAUCUGAGUUGUCCCACAGAAGUAAACCCUAAUUCUCCUCUCCCUACUUCUACCUCUCUCAUUUUAAAGUCUUCAAUUAGUUUUUCCCAAAUGUUUCCAGUCUUAAGAUUUACGGAAUUUGAAGCCUUUCCCAAAGAUCCAAUCUUCCAGAUAAAAGGAAAAUAUAAUAUAGCAUUCCAAUAAAAAUAAGAUAUUCUGGGGUUUCCAUUUUUAAUUAUACCAAUUUUUAAUGUUCAUUAAAUAUAUUUCCCUCUGCCAA